rnacentral:rRNA from 1 species
GACGAACGCUGGCGGCGUGCUUAACACAUGCAAGUCGAACGGAAAGGCCCUGCUUUGGUGGGGGGCUCGAGUGGCGAACGUGUGUGUAACAUGUGAGUAACCUGCCCUUGACUGUGGGAUAACUUCAGGAAACUGGGGCUAAUACCGGCUAGGAGCUCCUGCUGGAUGGUGGGGGUUGGAAAGUUUCGGCGGUUGGGGAUGGACUCGCGGCUUAUCAGCUUGUUGGUGGGGUAGUUGCUUACCAAGGCUUUGACGGGUAGCCGGCCUGAGAGGGUGACCGGCCACAUUGGGACUGAGAUACGGCCCAGACUCCUACGGGAGGCAGCAGUGGGGACUAUUGCACAAUGGGCGGAAGCCUGAUGAAGAAACGCCGCGUGCGGGAUGACGGCUUUCGGGUUGUAAACCGCUUUCGCCUGUGACGAAGCGUGAGUGACGGUAAUGGGUAAAGAAGCACCGGCUAACUACGUG